rnacentral:rRNA from 1 species
GAUGAACGCUGGCGGCGUGCCUAAUACAUGCAAGUCGAGCGAACAGACGAUGAUCUUGCUCCUCUGACGUUAGCGGCGGACGGGUGAGUAACACGUGUAUAACCUACCUAUAAGACUGGGAUAACUUCGGGAAACCGGAGCUAAUACCGUAUAAUAUAUUGAACCGCAUGGUUCAAUAGUGAAAGACGGUUUUGCUGUCACUUAUAGAUGGAUCCGCGCGGUAUUAGCUAGUUGGUAAGGUAACGGCUUACCAAGGCAACGAUGCGUAGCCGACCUGAGAGGGUGAUCGGCCACACUGGAACUGAGCCACGGUCCAGACUACUAAGGGAGGCAGCAGUAGGGAAUCUUCGGCAAUGGGCGAAAGCUUGACGGAGCAACGCCGCGUGAGUGAUGAAGGUCUUCGGAUCGUAAAACUCUGUUAUUAGGGAAGAACAAAUGUGUAAGUAACUAUGCACGUCUUGACGGUAACUAAUCAGAAAGCCCCGGCUAACUACGUG